rnacentral:rRNA from 3 species
GCCUAUACAUGCAGUCGACGAGUUCCCGUUGAUUGACGUGCUUGCACUGUUAUUUCAACAUUGGAACGAGUGGCGAACUGGUGAGUAACACGUGGAAAACCUGCCCAGAAGCAGGGGAUAACACUUGGAAACAGGUGCUAAUACCGUAUAACAACAAAAACCGCAUGGUUUUUGUUUGAAAGGUGGCUUCGGCUAUCACUUCUGGAUGGUUCCGCGGCGCAUUAGCUUGUUGGUGGGGUAACGGCUCACCAAGGCGAUGAUGCGUAGCCGACCUGAGAGGGUAAUCGGCCACAUUGGGACUGAGACACGGCCCAGACUCCUACGGGAGGCAGCAGUAGGGAAUCUUCCACAAUGGACGCAAGUCUGAUGGAGCAAUGCCGCGUGAGUGAAGAAGGGUUUCGGCUCGUAAAACUCUGUUGUUGAAGAAGAACGGGUGUCAGAGUAACUGUUGACAUCGUGACGGUAUUCAACCAGAAAGCCACGGCUAACUACGUGCCAGCAGCCGCGGUAAUACGUAGGUGGCAAGCGUUGUCCGGAUUUAUUGGGCGUAAAGCGAGCGCAGGCGGUUUCUUAAGUCUGAUGUGAAAGCCUUCGGCUUAACCGAAGAAGUGCAUCGGAAACUGGGGAACUUGAGUGCAGAAGAGGACAGUGGAACUCCAUGUGUAGCGGUGGAAUGCGUAGAUAUAUGGAAGAACACCAGUGGCGAAGGCGGCUGUCUAGUCUGCAACUGACGCUGAGGCUCGAAAGCAU